UUGAGCAAGUCAUUGACAUAUUUGCAUGCAUAAAACAACUUAAUUUAUUCAAUUAUUUCUUAAAGUAGCCUAAUGAAAAGAUUUCCCCCUCCAGAACUGCACUGAGAGUCGUGCUGCGUUUACUUCAUGAGCAUUUGACCGUUUUAUAUGAGUAAAACUAGCGUCACAUCACAUACACGCAACUGUAAAGGUAUUCACGUUAACACGUCAAAAUAAGAGUCCGGUUAAAUUGAUUAAUUGAUUAAUACAAUUAAAUUUAACAAUUAAAAGAGAAAAAAAUAAACAGAAAAAAAUGGAAUCCAGAAAAAUUAAAAUGGAAAAAAAUGAAUCUGGGAAAAAAUAAAAUGGAUUUUAUAGGGCCCUAAAAAGGUAAAGUAAAGUAAUAAGUAGUGAAGUUACUUUUCAAAUGCAGUAACUAGUAAAGUAAUCUCAUUACAAUUUACAGAAGUAAAUAAGAAGUUUUGAGAAACUACCCGAAUACCGUUGGUCCCCAAACUACAGUUACAAAAAGGGACCCACUGCCAUACCAGUUCAUUACUUAAUGCAACUGAAUUAUAAUAAUCUCUCAUCUUUUUCUUUCUUGUUAAACAUUUUGUACAUCCGUGUGUCUAAUUGUAGUGCCACAUGGCCAAACGGGAUGUUCUGAAGUAGACUCCAUGUCAGAAGCUGUGGCCGGCAAAGGCUUUCUGUUGGGUUGCAUUUCUUGCAAAAGAAGAGAGGAAGUGCCCGGUUGUGCUGUUGUUGAUUGGCACUACAAAGGAGCUGGGUCUGAGGAGUUUAUCCAUAUUUUUCAGUAUGAAUACAAUAACCCCACCAUUCUUCAUGAAGACUAUGAGGGAAGAUUAGAGUAGAAAGGAACUAUGGGUACAAAGGAUGUGCAAACUGAUUCCAUAUUUAUUCACAAUGUCACAUAUAAUGACACUGGGACUUACCUCUGUACCUUCCACCAUACGCUGUACCUUCCUCUGAAUGAGGAACAUGUGGAAAUAAGUAAAGAGGUUGAACUCACAGUUCUGGAAAUCGGUGAGAUCCAUUUUAAGACCCUUUUACAAGUGAUACAUUUGCAUUCCAUCAUGUAAUCUGAAUAUCUGAAUUUGUUACUCCCCAAGCAAACCCUGAGCUGACGGCUGUGAUUUCUGAGAUCAUGAUGUACAUGUUGAUCGUAGUUCUGCAGCUGUGGAUGAUUGGAGUGCUGAUUUACUGCUAUAGAAAGAUCUACGCUGAGAACGAAGCUCGGGAGGCCAGAAAAGCUGCACGCUCUCAAAGCAAGCACGUUGAGUUUAAAGACAUUUGUGAUGGCAUUUAUUUGGAAUAACUACAGUUUUGGUUAGUAGGCUUAUUAUUUUCAGUGAAUAGAGCCUAGGAUUACUUAAUUAUUGCUGAUAUAUUUGAUGCAUGGUCUUAUACGAAUAAUUCAUUAAAAAAAAUUAAAUUAGCUGAAAAUGGACUCUCAGGCUAUCAAAGAUAAAUAGAUUAAUUUGUUUAUUAAUUAAAAAAGAUUUGGAGGAAUUUUGCACUUGUUUACCAAUGGAUCCUCUGCAGUUAUUGGGGGCCGUCAGAUUGUGAUAAAAACAUCCUAAUAGUACACAAGACUCCAGUCCAUCAACUAACAUCUUGUUAAGUGAAAUCUGUAUGUAAAAAAAAAAAAAACAAGUACAUCAUUAAGACUUUAAACCAGUGAUCCUAAAAUCUGGCUCGUGAGAUGCACUUUCCUGCAGAGUUUACCUCUAACCCUAAUCAAACACACCUGAGUUGUCUACAGGGUCCCUAGAAAAACACAGGUACGUUUGUUUGAUUAGGGGUUGGAGCUAAACUCAUUUAGAUCUUGUGAGGUAGAUUUGAGGAUCACUGCUUUAAACUGUUGCUUCUGGUCAAAAUACGAGUCCAUAAUAACAGUAUAAUAAAAGUCCAUUCCCUGUUGCACACUCACAUCAAAAUACACCAAAUCCUUAGGACCGUUUCCUUUGUAAAUGGUGCUGAGUCUUUGCAUAUUUCUCUCCUGAUUCAGAUGAGACAGAUUUUUUUACUGGAGGAAGAAAUAUUAUGGAUGGAAGACUUGCAUUUUAGAAAGCAGCACCGAUUUAAAGGUGAAAAUUUCCCAAUGAUGUAUUAAACAUCAAGGCAUGUUGAUUAUUGUGAUUGAUUUAUGUAUUUAUUUUUUCAGCUGUAUGGGCUCUCAUUCCAAAGGCAACCAUACACUCCAGAGUAUCCAUUGGUGAGCUAAAUUUCUCCAAAUCUGAUUUAAUGAAUAAACAAAUUCAUCUACAUCCUUGAUGACUAGAGGGGAGUCAAUUUUCAUUUUUGGAUAAGAAGGAUAGCCAGUAUAAACCUCUAUUUCUAGUGAAUUAAACUCACUAAUUAAUUAAUUACUCACCCUCAUGUUGUUCCAAACCUUUUACGGUUGAUCCACUGAUGUCACAUUGACUAUUUUAACAAUGUCCUUGCUACGUUUCUGAGUCUGGGAACCUUUCAGUUACAUUGCUGUCUAUGCAAGGUCAGAAAGCUCUCAAAUUAAGUUGUGUUCUGAGGUGUUACAGGUUUGGAACAACAUGAGGGUAAGUAAUUACAGAAUUGAAUUUUUUUGGGGGAACUAUCCCUUUAACUGGGAACUACAUCAGUUUGGAGAAACUAAAAUGGUUUACAGUAAAAAAAAAAAAAAAAAAAACUUCUGGUUUCUUGAUUUGCUUGUUUAUUGACUGGUGAUUAAAAAG